ACAUAAGUUGUGCACUCGCUGUAAAUAUGGACUAAAAACAAUUGGUGGCUUUUAGGUUGGCCUCUAUGAGUACUGAAGGCUGAUAUAGGACCACCAUACAGAA